ACUUUUAAUAGAAAAUAGAACUGUCAUGCCUCCGAAUGUCAAAAUUCCUGUUUUCUGCGGAAGGCUGAGUUGCCAUUUACCAUAAUAAUAAUGUCCAUGUUAUUCAUGCUGCCUUGUGGACAUACUUCUGUAAGACGCUAACUAAUUUAAUAAGACUUUGGGUGACCAGAGAUGAGUUGUAAAAAAGGAAGUACAAGACGAACUCGGCCACAGAAGUAUCAAAAUUCAACUUCUUAUCGAAAUAAUCUUCAUGACAACAGCAAAAA